rnacentral:rRNA from 1 species
CCUACGGGUGGCAGCAGUGGGGAAUAUUGCACAAUGGGGGAAACCCUGAUGCAGCGACGCCGCGUGAGUGAAGAAGUAAUUCGGUAUGUAAAGCUCUAUCAGCAGGGAAGAAAAUGACGGUACCUGAGUAAGAAGCCCCGGCUAACUACGUGCCAGCAGCCGCGGUAAAACGUAGGGGGCAAGCGUUAUCCGGAUUUACUGGGUGUAAAGGGAGCGUAGACGGCGGGGCAAGUCUGAAGUGAAAGGCGGGGGCUCAACCCCCGGACUGCUCUGGAAACUGUACGGCUAGAGUGCGGGAGAGGUAAGUGGAAUUCCUAGUGUAGCGGUGAAAUGCGUAGAUAUUAGGAGGAACACCAGUGGCGAAGGCGGCUUACUGGACUGUAACUGACGUUGAGGCUCGAAAGCGUGGGGAGCAAACAGGAUUAGAUACCCUUGUAGUC